rnacentral:misc_RNA from 1 species
UCCUCCGCUUAUUGAUAUGCUUAAGUUCAGCCUGCGGGUUCCUCCGCUUAUUGAUAUGCUUAAGAUCAGCGGGUCCUCCUACCUGAUCCGAGGUCAACCUUGGGGUUGCGAAGGUCGUUUUACGGCUGGAACCCCGCAGCACGCCCUGAGCGAGGUCGUAUGCUACUACGCUCGGUGUGACUAGCGAGCCCGCCACUGGUUUUCAGGGCCUGCGGGCAGCCGCAGGUCCCCAACACAAGCCGUGGGCUUGAUGGGUUGAAAUGACGCUCGAACAGGCAUGCCCGCCAGGAUACUGGCGGGCGCAAUGUGCGUUCAAAGAUUCGAUGAUUCACUGAAUUCUGCAAUUCACAUUACUUAUCGCAUUUCGCUGCGUUCUUCAUCGAUGCCAGAACCAAGAGAUCCGUUGUUGAAAGUUUUGACUGAUUCAGUAUAGAAGACUCAGAGUGGCCAUAACAUAUCAAGAGUUUGGUGUACCUCCGGCGGGCGCCCGCGGUGCGGGCCCAGGGGGGCGCKCGAGGGCGCCKCYCRCCGAAGCAACGGUUUGGGUAGCGUUCACGAUGGUUUGGGGAGUUUUGCAACUCUGUAAUGAUCCCUCCGCAAGGUUCACCUACGGA